rnacentral:rRNA from 1 species
AGAGUUUGAUCAUGGCUCAGAUUGAACGCUGGCGGCAGGCCUAACACAUGCGAGUCGAGCGGUAACGAGAAGUGCUUGUACUUCGGCGACGAGCGGCGGACGGGUGAGUAAUGCUUGGGAAUAUGCCUUUAAGUGGGGGACAACUAUUGGAAACGACUGCUAAUACCGCAUAAUGUCUACGGACCAAAGAGGGGGACCUUCCGGCCUCUUGCCUUUAGAUUAGCCCAAGUGAGAUGAUCUAGAUGGAAAGGUAAUGGCUUACCAUGACGACUAUCUCUACCUGGUUUGAGAGGAUGAUCAGCCACACUGGGACUGAUCACGGCCCAGACUCCUACGGGAGGGGCAAAGGGGAAUAUUGCACAAUGGGCGCAAGCCUGAUGGCCCAUGCCGCGUGUGUGAAGAAGGCCUUCGGGUUGUAAAGCACUUUCAGUUGUGAGGAAAGGGAUGUACUUAAUAACUGCAUUCUGUGACGUUAGCAACGGAAGAAGCACCGGCUAACUCCGUGCCAGCAGCCGCGGAAAUACGGAGGGUGCGAGCGUUAAUCCUAAUUACUGGGCGUAAAGCGUGCGUCUAUGGAUACUUAUGUCAGAUGUGAAAUCCCGAGCCUCAACCUGCGAACUGCAUUUGAAACUGAGUGACUAGAGUAUUGUAGAGGGUGUUGGAAUUUCCCGUGUGGCUGCGAAAUGCAUAGAGAUUGCAUCGAUGAUCAAUGGCGACAGCUGCCACCUGAACGACAACUGACGCCGAGGCACGAAAGCGUGAGGAGCAAAUAGGAUUAGAUACCCUGACGGUCCACACCAUAAACAGAUGUCAACUAGCCGUCUGUAGACUUGAUCUGUGGGGGGCGUAGCAACGCUUAAGUUCCCGCCGGGAGAGUACGGCCGCAAGGAUAAAUCUCAAAUGAAUUGACGGGGCCCCGCACAAGCGGUAGAGCAUGUGGUUUAAUUCGAUGCAACGCGAAGAACCUCCCAUCCCUUGACAUCCAGAGAAGCGACUAGGGAUAGACGUGUGCUUUCGGGAUCUCUGUCACAGGUGGCACAUGGCUGUUGUCAGCUCGUGUUGUGAAAUGGUGGGUUAAGUCCCGCAACGAGCGCAACCCCUAUCCUUAUUUCAUAGCGCGUAAUGGCGAGAACUAUAAGGAGACUGCCGGUGAUAAACCGGAGGAAGGGGGGGACGACGUCAAGUCAUCAUGCCCCUUACGGGAUGGGCCACACACGUGCCACAAUGGCAAGUACAGAGGGCAGCAAUUCCGAGAGGGGGAGAGAAUCCCACAAAGCUUGUUGUAGUCCGGAUGGGUGUCUGCAUCUCGUCUCCAAGAUGUCGGAAUCGCUUGUUAUUGUAGAUCAGAAUGAUACGGAGAAUACUUUCCCGGGCCUUGCACACCCCCCCCCUCACCCCAGGGGAGGGGGUCACAAAAGAAGUGGAUAGUUUAACUUUCGGGAGGACGGUCACCACUUUGUGAUUCAUGACUGGGGUGAAGUCGUAACAAAGGUAACC